AGAGUUUGAUCAUGGCUCAGAACGAACGCUGGCGGCGUGGAUAAGACAUGCAAGUCGGACGAGAUUUUUCGUUGUAGCAAUACGAUGGAAAGUCUAGUGGCGAACGGGUGCUUAACACGUGGGCAACCUGCCGAGAAGUGGGGGAUAGCUCGCCGAAAGGCGAAUUAAUACCGCAUGUGAUUAGAGUGGACAUCCAUUCGAAAUUAAAGUCGGGGCAACCUGACGCUUCUUGUGGGGCCCGCGGCCUAUCAGCUAGUUGGUGAGGUAAUGGCUCACCAAGGCUUUGACGGGUAGCUGGUCUGAGAGGACGACCAGCCACACUGGGACUGAGACACGGCCCAGACACCUACGGGUGGCAGCAGUCGAGAAUUUUUCUCAAUGGGGGAAACCCUGAAGGAGCGACGCCGCGUGGAGGAUGAAGGUCUUCGGAUUGUAAACUCCUGUCAUUGGGGAACAAUGCGUGAUGGUUAACUGCCGUCGCGUUGAUAGUACCCGAAGAGGAAGAGACGGCUAACUCUGUGCCAGCAGCCGCGGUAAUACAGAGGUCUCAAGCGUUGUUCGGAUUCAUUGGGCGUAAAGGGUGCGUAGGCGGCGCGGUAAGUCGGGUGUGAAAUCUCGGAGCUUAACUCCGAAACUGCAUUCGAUACUGCCGUGCUUGAGGACUGGAGAGGAGACUGGAAUUUACGGUGUAGCGGUGAAAUGCGUAGAUAUCGUAAGGAAGACCAGUGGCGAAGGCGGGUCUCUGGACAGUUCCUGACGCUGAGGCACGAAGGUCAGGGGAGCAAACGGGAUUAGAUACCCCAGUAGUCC
rnacentral:rRNA from 1 species